rnacentral:RNase_P_RNA from 1 species
AGAGCCGACCGGGCAGUCGCUGUCGUGAUCCGCAAGGGUUGCGAGGGAGGAAAGUCCGGGCUCCAUAGGGCGAGGUGCCAGGUAACGCCUGGGAGGCGUGAGCCUACGGAAAGUGCCACAGAAAAUAACCGCCUAAGCGCGCAAGCGCCGGUAAGGGUGAAAAGGUGCGGUAAGAGCGCACCGCACGGCUGGCAACAGUUCGUGGCUAGGUAAACCCCACCUGGAGCAAGACCAAAUAGGAAUCCAUAGGCGUGGCCCGCGCUGGAUUCGGGUAGGU